rnacentral:lncRNA from 1 species
UUGUAUUGAAAAGUUAUCUCGGUUUAACAAAAGAAAGGUUCAACCACGACAUCCACAUCAUAUCGGCCGACGUCCAUGCCCGUGACUUCUGCGUCCUACAUAACAACCGAUAGCAACUUGAAAAAUAGACAACAUUAUCUUUUAGACAUUUUUGGCAAGUUUGACUGGCUGGUUUCAUAAUUAUUUUUGGACAUAUGCAAAAAUAAAAAGAUCUACAUAAAGAAGAGGGUAUUCGUCUGAAUCAGAUGAAGAUUAAUAACCUUGAAGUGUUUGAUGAGGCAUGUGAUUUUUGCUUGCACAUCCACACACAACUCUCCAUUAACCACAAUACUCACCGUUAUUUCUGAAAUUUAUGGUGUAGUUGUACUUGCGGAACAAUAUGAAAGUGAAGGUGAGAUCAGAGUUUAUACAGUUGUGGAAACAACUUCUUUGAUGGUUGUAGAUCCCGCAAUCGUAGAAACAACCUUAAUGAUGAUUGUAGUUUCGAUGAUAAAUAUUGGUCCAUUUUCUUAGCAAACAAUCUCCUCUUCUAUACUUGUCAAACAUUCAUAUUCUUUGGUCAUGCAAUUUUGUUUAAUAUUUGAUGAUGUUUGAAUAGCGGUUGUACAAAUGUAUUUACUUUCUAAUUUUUAUUUUAAGCAUGUAUGAAGAUACUUUAAACAAAUUCAUUGUGAGUUUUGUUCAAAAUAUAUGUGAACGUGUUUGUACUAGUUGGUGCAUAUUUGACCGUAUAGUCUCCAUGCUUAAGACAUCCUUAAAUCGAUACAUUUCAUUAUUUUAUAAGUUAACUAAUUUGCUUCCUUUAUAUCUUUAGUAAGUAAUUUUCGUAUUUAUAGAUUCCUUUGUGCGAAACGAGAG